UAAAUUCCACGCGGUAAGUGGCUUACUUGAGGUCUAACGUACUUGAUUAUUUACGUUAGUAAGCAUUUAGACAAAAGGACACACGUUUGUAUAAUACUGGGGUAAAUGGUUAAGUAAGAAGAUAAAAUUACCAAACAUUAGGCUACGCUUUGUUCAGUUUCACUGUGGAAAAGACCGCGAAGUGAAGUAUACACAGUGUGGUUUCUGUGGAUGGCUCGCGUGUCUUCAGCAGCGGCAGAAUCCUCGGAGGAACUGGCCUGACUCAUCUGCAUCUGUGACAGAUUUUGAUGUGGGCCGAUCAUGGGUACGCAUACACAAGAUGUUUAUGACCUGCUCCAGCGAAGCAAAGGUGGAUCUGGACUCAAAUCCUCAUUGCAAGUGAUUAA